rnacentral:tRNA from 1 species
GCCUGGGUGGCUCAGUCGGUUGAGCGUCUGACUUCAGCUCAGGUCAUGAUCUCCUGGUCUGUGAGUUUGAGCCCCGCCUUGGGCU